CCCCCAGACCCAACUUGGGGCGGCCAUCGCCAUCUUACUGGGCAGCAUUGGAUGGUGUCUGGUCUCUAAUACUGCCUGGUAACGAUGACGGCGGCACUCUGUGCGCAGCGGGGGGCCGC
rnacentral:pre_miRNA from 15 species